rnacentral:rRNA from 1 species
CAGCCGCCGCGGUAAUACGUAGGGUGCGAGCGUUAAUCGGAUUUACUGGGCGUAAAGCGUGCGCAGGCGGCCCGUUAAGACAGGUGUGAAAUCCCUGGGCUCAACCUAGGAAUUGCGCUUGUGACUGGCGGGCUCGAGUACGGUAGAGGGGGGUGGAAUUCCUGGUGUAGCAGUGAAAUGCGUAGAGAUCAGGAGGAACACCGAUGGCGAAGGCAGCCCACUGGGCCUGUACUGACGCUCAUGCACGAAAGCGUGGGGAGCAAACAGGAUUAGAUACCCUGGUAGUCCACGCCCUAAACGAUGGGUACUAGCCGUUUGGUGCGCGAGAGCGCUGAGUGGCGAAGCUAACGCGUGAAGUACCCCGCCUGGGGAGUACGGCCGCAAGGUUGAAACUUAAAGGAAUUGGCGGG